GGGCCGGUGGUCUAGCCUGGUAUCAACCAAGAAGUGACAGAUUGACGCCGCCCUCACACGGCGGAGGUCAGGGGUUCAAAGCCCCUCCGGCCCA
rnacentral:tRNA from 1 species